CGAGCACGCGCGUGUGGCAUAUCAAUAAGCGGAGGAAAAGAAACUAACAAGGAUUCCCUUAGUAACGGCGAGUGAAGCGGGAAGAGCUCAAAUUUGAAAUCUUCAAGGUUCUACCUUGACGAAUUGUAGUUUAUAGAAGUGUUUUCUGUUAGUGGAGUGGCAAAAGUUCUUUGGAAUAGGACAUCAUAGAGGGUGAGAAUCCCGUAUUUGGUCAUUCCUUCCUAGCGUUGUGAUACACUUUCAACGAGUCGGAUUGUUUGGGAAUGCAGUCCAAAAUGGGUGGUAAAUUUCAUCUAAAGCUAAAUAUUGGCGAGAGACCGAUAGCGAACAAGUACCGUGAGGGAAAGAUGAAAAGAACUUUGAAAAGAGAGUUAAACAGUACGUGAAAUUGUCAAAAGGGAAGCGUUUGACACCAGUGUUGUUUUUCCGAAAAUCAAUUACGAAUGUUUUAUUUUUGAGGAGUUAUGACUUCAUCGGCUUGCUUCCUUUCUUUAUGAAACUUUCUUAAUGCACUUUUCGGUUAACAAGUCAACAUCAAUUUCUUUUGUUGUAAAAGGGUAUGAGGAAGGUGGCUUUCUUUUCGGAGAAAGUGUUUAUAGCCUUGUAGCCUCUGCAAUCGGAGAGAUUGAGGUCUGCAGCGUAGAUCCUUCGGGGUUAGAUACAGUUUGUGCUAAGUUAUAGCUUUUCAUAGACAACUUGUUGACUAUGUUUAGUCUUGUAGCUUACUCGCUGAUGCUAUUUUACCUACGCUUAGGAUGUUGAUGUGAUACUGCGAGCA
rnacentral:rRNA from 1 species